AUUGAACGCUGGCGGCAGGCCUAACACAUGCCAGUCGAACGGAGUUGCGGACGGGUGAGUAAUGUCUGGGAACCUGCCUGAUGGCGGGGGAUAACUACUGGAAACGGGCGCUAAUACCGCAUACUCUCAGAUGAGCCUAGGUCGGAUUAGCUAGUUGGUGGGGUAAAGGCCUACCAAGGCGACGAUCCGUCACUGGUCUGAGAGGAUGAACAGGAAAACUGGAACUGAGACACGGUCCAGACGCCUACGGGAGGCAGCAGGGGGGAAGAUUGGACAAUGGGCGAAAGCCUGAUCCGGCCAUGCCGCGUGUGUGAAGAAGGUCUUCGGAUUGUAAAGCACGUUAAGUUGGGAGGCGUUACCAACAGAAUAAGCACAGGCUAACUUCGUGCCAGCAGCCGCGGUAAUUC
rnacentral:rRNA from 1 species